UUACAGAAAGGUGUAAUUAAUUAUACUUUUUAUUUAACUAGGAAAUAAUCUGACAGAUCUGCCCAGUGCCAUUUGUAGUCUUCUUUCCCUGGAGGAGAUAAAUUUUGAUGACAAUCCUUUGAUGAGACCUCCCAUGGAAAUCUGUAAAGGGAAACAAUUGCAUACUAUUGCAAGCUAUCUACAGAGGGCAGAUGAAAGAGAUGAGAAAAUCUUAGAGAAGACAUUCAAGAUAGUUGCCAACAAUAUUACUGAAACAAAUUUUGAAUUUUUGUGUCAAAAACUAAACCUGGUAAAAUCAGAAAA
rnacentral:lncRNA from 1 species